rnacentral:rRNA from 1 species
AUUGAACGCUGGCGGCAGGCCUAACACAUGCAAGUCGAGCGGAUGAAGGGAGCUUGCUCCUGGAUUCAGCGGCGGACGGGUGAGUAAUGCCUAGGAAUCUGCCUGGUAGUGGGGGAUAACGUCCGGAAACGGGCGCUAAUACCGCAUACGUCCUGAGGGAGAAAGUGGGGGAUCUUCGGACCUCACGCUAUCAGAUGAGCCUAGGUCGGAUUGGCUAGUUGGUGGGGUAAAGGCCUACCAAGGCGACGAUCCGUAACUGGUCUGAGAGGAUGAUCAGUCACACUGGAACUGAGACACGGUCCAGACUCCUACGGGAGGCAGCAGUGGGGAAUAUUGGACAAUGGGCGAAAGCCUGAUCCAGCCAUGCCGCGUGUGUGAAGAAGGUCUUCGGAUUGUAAAGCACUUUAAGUUGGGAGGAAGGGCAGUAAGUUAAUACCUUGCUGUUCUGACGUUACCAACAGAAUAAGCACCGGCUAACUUCGUG